rnacentral:rRNA from 1 species
AUUGAACGCUGGCGGCGUGCUUAACACAUGCAAGUCGAUCGGUAACGCGGGGGCAACCCUGGCGACGAGAGGCGGACGGGUGAGGAACGCGUGGGAAUCUGCCUAUCAGCGGGGGACAACACGGGGAAACUCGUGCUAAUACCGCAUACGCCCUACGGAGGAAAGCCGGGGACCGCAAGGCCUGGCACCGAUAGAUGACCCCAAGGCGGCUUAGCUAGUUGGCGGGGUAACGGCCCACCAAGGCGACGAUCCGUAGCUGGUCUGAGAGGACAGUCAGGCACACUGGAACUGAGACACGGUGCAGACUCCUACGGGAGGCAGCAGUGGGGAAUAUUGGACAAUGGGGGAAACCCUGAUCCAGCGACGCCGCGUGGGUGAAGAAGGCCUGCGGGUUGUAAAGCCCUUUCGGUAGGGACGAAAGCUCUCGACCUAACACGUCGGGAGGUUGACUUAACCUACAAAAGAAGCACCGGCUAACUCUGUGCCAGCAGCCGCCGUAAGAC